rnacentral:rRNA from 1 species
AAUGAACGUUGGCGGCGUGGAUUAGGCAUGCAAGUCGAACGAAUCCCAGUGUGGUAGUAAUACCGUGCUGGGGGAAGUGGCGAAAGGGGCAGUAAUGCAUGGGUAACCUACCCCGGGGACCGGGAUAGCCGUCCUAACGGACGGGUAAUACCGGGCGAGGCGACUGGUUCGCAUGGACCGGCCGUGAAAUGAAUUUCGCCUCGGGAGGGGCUCAUGUGGUAUUAGCUUGUUGGCGGGGUAACGGCCCACCAAGGCUAAGAUGCCUAGCAGGCGUGAGAGCGUGACCUGCGUCACUGGCACUGAGACACUGGCCAGACUCCUACGGGAGGCUGCAGUCGAGGAUCUUCGGCAAUGGGCGCAAGCCUGACCGAGCGACGCCGCGUGCGCGAUGAAGGCCUUCGGGUUGUAAAGCGCGAAAGUGGGGAGAAAAGCCGAAAGGUUUGAUCUAUCCACAGUAAGCACGGGCUAAGUUCGUGCCAGCAGCCGCCGUAAAAC